rnacentral:rRNA from 1 species
AACCUCCGCAAUGUGGGAAAUCGCGACGGGGGGAUCCCAAGUGCCAUUCUUAACGGGAUGGCUUUUCAUUAGUGUAAAGAGCUUUUGGAAUAAGAGCUGGGCAAGACCGGUGCCAGCCGCCGCGGUAACACCGGCAGCUCUAGUGGUAGCAAUUUUUAUUGGGCCUAAAGCGUCCGUAGCCGGUUUAAUAAGUCUCUGGUGAAAUCCUGUAGCUUAACUGUGGGAAUUGCUGGAGAUACUAUUAGACUUGAGAUCGGGAGAGGUUAGAGGUACUCCCAGGGUAGAGGUGAAAUUCUGUAAUCCUGGGAGGACCGCCUGUUGCGAAGGCGUCUAACUGGAACGAUUCUGACGGUGAGGGACAAAGGUUAGGGGCGCGAACCGGAUUAGAUACCCGGGUAGUCCUAACUGUAAACGAUGCGGACUUGGUGUUGGGGUGGCUUUGAGCUGCUCCAGUGCCGAAGGGAGCUGUUAAGUCCGCCGCCUGGGAAGUCGGUCGCAAGACUGAAACUUAAAGGAAUU